UUUUUGCUUGCAAACUAAAGAUGGCGACCGGCGCACGGGUGAGUAACACGUAUCCAACCUGCCGAUAACUCGGGGAUAGCCUUUCGAAAGAAAGAUUAAUAUCCGAUAGUAUAUUAAAACCGCAUGGUUUUACUAUUAAAGAAUUUCGGUUAUCGAUGGGGAUGCGUUCCAUUAGUUUGUUGGCGGGGUAACGGCCCACCAAGACUACGAUGGAUAGGGGUUCUGAGAGGAAGGUCCCCCACAUUGGAACUGAGACACGGUCCAA
rnacentral:rRNA from 1 species